rnacentral:rRNA from 1 species
AACUCAAAGGAAUUGACGGGGACCCGCACAAGCAGCGGAGCGUGUGGUUUAAUUCGUUGCUACACGAAGAACCUUACCUGGGUUUGACAUAUAGGUUGUAGGGAACUGAAAAGGGACCGACCCUUCGGGGAGCCUAUACAGGUGUUGCAUGGCUGUCGUCAGCUCGUGUCGUGAGAUGUUCGGUUAAGUCCGCUAACGAGCGCAACCCCCGUCGUAUGUUAUAUGUGUCAUACGAGACUGCCGGUAAAAAGCCGGAGGAAGGUGAGGAUGAUGUCAAGUCAGCAUGACCUUUAUAUCCAGGGCUACACACACGCUACAAUGGUCUGUACAAUGGGUAGCCAAGCCGCGAGGCGGAGCCAAUCCUGAAAGCAGGCCUCAGUUCAGAUUGCAGUCUGCAACUCGACUGCAUGAAGCCGGAGUUGCUAGUAACCGCAGGUCAGCAAUACUGCGGUGAAUACGUUCCCGGGUCUU